GAAAUGCGAUAAGUAAUGUGAAUUGCAGAAUUCAGUGAAUCAUCGAAUCUUUGAACGCACAUUGCGCUCGCCAGUAUUCUGGCGAGCAUGCCUGUUCGAGCGUCAUUUCAACCAUCAAGCUCUGCUUGCGUUGGGGAUCCGCGGCUGCCCGCGGUCCCUCAAAAACAGUGGCGGGCUCUCUAGUCACACCGAGCGUAGUAACUCUACAUCGCUAUGGUCGUGCGGCGGGUUCUUGCCGUAAAACCCCCAAUUUCUAAGGUUGACCUCGGAUCAGGUAGGAAUACCCGCUGAACUUAAGC
rnacentral:misc_RNA from 1 species